rnacentral:rRNA from 1 species
CCCUUAGAUGUUCUGGGCCGCACGCGCGCUACACUGAUGCAUUCAACGAGUUUCUUCCUGGUCCGAGAGGAAUGGGUAACCUUUUGAAAGUGCAUCGUGAUAGGGAUAGACUAUCGCAAUUAUUGGUCUUCAACGAGGAAUUCCUAGUAGACGUAGUUCAUCAGACUGCAUCGAUUACGUCCCUGCCCUUUGUACACACCGCCCGUCGCUCCUACCGAUUGAAUGCUCAGGUGAGCCAUUCGGACUUUCAUCAUGCUGGUUUCCAGUUUUGAUGAAGGAAAGUCUUGCGAACCUUAUCAUUUAGAGGAAGGAGAAGUCGUAACA